AGAGUUUGAUCCUGGCUCAGGAUGAACGCUAGCGACAGGCUUAACACAUGCAAGUCGAGGGGCAGCAGGGGAGUAGCAAUACUCCCGCUGGCGACCGGCGCACGGGUGAGUAACACGUAUGCAACCUGCCCUUGUCAGGGGGAUAAGCGGAAGAAAUUCCGUCUAAUACCGCAUAAUGCUGCGGGGAGACAUCUCCCUGCAGCCAAAGAUUUAUCGGACAAGGAUGGGCAUGCGGCGCAUUAGCUUGUUGGCGGGGUAACGGCCCACCAAGGCGACGAUGCGUAGGGGUUCUGAGAGGAAGGUCCCCCACACUGGUACUGAGACACGGACCAGACUCCUACGGGAGGCAGCAGUGAGGAAUAUUGGUCAAUGGCCGGGAGGCUGAACCAGCCAAGUCGCGUGAGGGAAGACGGUCCUAUGGAUUGUAAACCUCUUUUGUCAGGGAGCAAAAACUGCCACGUGUGGCAGGAUGAGAGUACCUGAAGAAAAAGCAUCGGCUAACUCCGUGCCAGCAGCCGCGGUAAUACGGAGGAUGCGAGCGUUAUCCGGAUUUAUUGGGUUUAAAGGGUGCGUAGGCGGACAGUUAAGUCAGCGGUAAAAUUGAGAGGCUCAACCUCUUCCCGCCGUUGAAACUGAUUGUCUUGAGUGGGCGAGAAGUAUGCGGAAUGCGUGGUGUAGCGGUGAAAUGCAUAGAUAUCACGCAGAACUCCGAUUGCGAAGGCAGCAUACCGGCGCCCAACUGACGCUGAAGCACGAAAGCGUGGGUAUCGAACAGGAUUAGAUACCCUGGUAGUCCACGCAGUAAACGAUGAAUACUAAUUGUUCGGGUCAAAUGAGAUCUGAGUGAUACAGCGAAAGCGUUAAGUAUUCCACCUGGGGAGUACGCCGGCAACGGUGAAACUCAAAGGAAUUGACGGGGGCCCGCACAAGCGGAGGAACAUGUGGUUUAAUUCGAUGAUACGCGAGGAACCUUACCCGGGCUCAAACAACACAGGAAUGAUCUGAGAAAUCAGGCAGUCCUCCGGGACCUGUGUCGAGGUGCUGCAUGGUUGUCGUCAGCUCGUGCCGUGAGGUGUCGGCUUAAGUGCCAUAACGAGCGCAACCCCCAUCGACAGUUGCCAGCAGGACAAGCUGGGCACUCUGUCGAGACUGCCGGCGCAAGCUGUGAGGAAGGCGGGGAUGACGUCAAAUCAGCACGGCCCUUACGUCCGGGGCGACACACGUGUUACAAUGGCAGGUACAGCGGGAAGCCACCUGGCGACAGGGAGCGGAACCCGAAAGCCUGUCUCAGUUCGGAUUGGAGUCUACAACUCGACUCCAUGAAGCUGGAUUCGCUAGUAACCGCGCAUCAGCCACGGCGCGGUGAAUACGUUCCCGGGCCUUGCACUCACCGCCCGUCA
rnacentral:rRNA from 1 species